rnacentral:rRNA from 1 species
ACUACGGGAGGCAGCAGUGAGGAAUAUUGGUCAAUGGUCGGGAGACUGAACCAGCCAAGCCGCGUGAGGGAUGAAGGUACAGAGUAUCGUAAACCUCUUUUGUCAGGGAACAAAGGCGGGGACGUGUCCCCGGAUGAGUGUACCUGAAGAAAAAGCAUCGGCUAACUCCGUGCCAGCAGCCGCGGUAAUACGGAGGAUGCGAGCGUUAUCCGGAUGUAUUGGGGUUAAAGGGCGCGCAGGCGGUCUGUUAAGUCAGCGGUCAAAGCCCGGGGCUCCCCCCCGGCCCGCCGUUGAAACUGGCAGUCUCCAUUUGGAGAGAAGUAUGCGGCAUGCGCGGUGUAGCGGUGAAAUGCAUAGCUAUCGCGCAGAACUCCGAUUGCGAAGGCAGCAUGCCGGCUCCACACUGACGCUGAGGCACGAAAGCGUGGGUAUCGAACAGGAUUAGAUACCCGAGUAGUC